rnacentral:rRNA from 1 species
GACGAACGCUGGCGGCGUGCUUAACACAUGCAAGUCGAACGGAAAGGCCCUGCUUUUGUGGGGUGCUCGAGUGGCGAACGGGUGAGUACCACGUGAGUAACCUGCCCUUGACUUUGGGAUAACUUCAGGAAACUGGGGCAAAUACCGGAUAGGAGCUCCUGCUGCAUGGUGGGGGUUGGAAAGUUUCGGCGGUUGGGGAUGGACUCGCGGCUUAUCAGCUUGUUGGUGGGGUAGUGGCUUACCAAGGCUUUGACGGGUAGCCGGCCUGAGAGGGUGACCGGCCACAUUGGGACUGGGAUACGGCCCAGACUCCUACGGGAGGCAGCAGUGGGGAAUAUUGCACAAUGGGCGGAAGCCGGAUGCAGCAACGCCGCGUGCGGGAUGACGGCCUUCGGGUUUUAAACCGCUUUCGCCUGUGACGAAGCGUGAGUGACGGUAGUGGGUAAAGAAGCACCGGCUAACUACGUG